GGGCGGAAAAUGGUGGCGGGGAGAGGCGAGGGCUGGGGCCGAGGGCAGGGGCGGGCCGGUGAACUCCGCCGGGGAGAAACCAGGAGCGGGAAUGAGGGGAAAGGCGGGCGCGGGAGCCGACAGGAAGGGCAGCGGGCACCGGGCGCAGCCGGCAGCGGAAGGGACGCGAGCCGGCUACCAACGAGCGGGUGGAGGGGGUGAGGAAGGUUUAGGCCAAAAAAAUGAAGGGGGUGUGGCGGGGAGAGGGGCUGACGGGCAAACGCGGGAAGGGAACGGAAUAGCUCCGGUACUUGAGAAAACGGGGGGCGAUCAGGGAGGAGACUGUCGGAUAAAAAUGAGGACCCGAAGACGGGGGAAUUGGGGAGACAAAACACGAGGACAGAAUUGUCGGGCCCGGGGGCCCGGGGAGAGCCGGGUGAGGAGCGUGGGGGGCGGGGAAGUAAUCAGGCUGGAGGAUAAAAUUGGGGACCUGAGGAGACCGGGGCUCAGAGGUUAAAUGAGAGCCAAGAUAGAGGCUGGGAGUGAGUGGAAGAGCUGAGGAAGAGGUAAGCCGCGAUUUUUAAAAAGGAAACGAGGGUGAAAAGCAGAGCACGCCAAGGUUAAAAUGAGGCAGGGGCAGCCAGCCAGAAGAAAGAGGGAUCUGACAAGAGCUGAGGGUCCAAACAUGGGCAAGCCGGGUAAACGGAUGUGACCGAGGAGGCCUGCGGCGGGACACAGGUGCCUCGGACCGCAGGGAAGAGAGGUGGAGAAAGACAGGGAAGGCGAAGGAGAAGACAACCAGCAUCCUCUAGGUCACCUUUACAUCCAGAAGGAUCUCAUUUCAGCCUCACCACAACCCUGUAAGCCCUUCAGGAGGUGUGGUGGUGAGGGUGUCAAGUCAAAGCAGAAUCAAAAGCUCUUCUUCGGUGUAGCUUUCCAAGCUUCUCAGACAAGAUAAUGAAGGACAGUUCUCUUCUUCACACUGGCCUGUCUUCUUGAACCAUGUCAUUCUGCUGCUCACUGCUGUCAUCUGCCCAGGAAGGAAAAGCAGUGAUCUGAAUAAAGGUGACUCCUUUAUCGAUGGUCUUCCACCAUCUGUGUCUUCAAUCAUCUCAAUUUCUAGUCCUUCCCUCGUGAACCAGAAUUGGAUUUUAUGAAGGAGCAGACAGGGUGGGGUGUGUGUUCCCCUUUGCACCUGUUGUUUUCACUCAACAUCCUCUAGACGUGCUUAAUGUCAUCCGCCCUCCAUACUCUUGGCUCAUGCCAUUCCUCUCACCCGGAGCACCUCUCUCCUUCCUGCUUAUUUCAAACUCAGCUGGCCUGAAAGACCUGCCUCGUGUUCCAUUUCUUCCAUUAAGUUUCUCCCAACCAAUGCACCCCUCAAGGCUCUCAUCUUUCUCUGAGGUCCUAUAAUUUUUCAACAGAUCAUUCUUCAGGCAGUUAAUCAAAUCCCUCCUCUGCACUCUCAAAGUGUUGGUUAAAGGUUUCUUUUGUUUUAAUUUUCCCCAUGUUUUAGUCUGUUCACCCUAACUGGCCUUGUAAAGCCCCCUGCAUGUGGAUAGUAUUGGUCUCCCUUUUCUAUUCCCCAGCCAUGUCAAUAUCAUGCCCUUCCCAGAGCAAUCCCUUGAUAAAUGUUUGUCAAUUUGUGUUGGUAGCUGACAGCAGAUUCUCAGGCAUGAGGUGACAGUCUGUCUUCCCCAGCCUUUAAGAAACCAAACUCAUCCCUUAGUUUUCUUACUGGGAAGCUCACCACAGUAGGAGCUCACUCACCGAAAGAGUGCUUUUACGG